AAUAAGAUGCCUGAAAAAGGACUAUCCUGAUAUGAUAGAUCAUAUGAGCAAAUCUCAUUCUUAUUA
rnacentral:tRNA from 1 species